GGGCCAUGUUGGCCUUCCUGCAGAAGCACCUCGACCUGAAAGAAGACUAUAAUCAAUGGAACAACCUUAUUGAAGGCAUUGGACCGUCGCUCACCCCAGGGGCCCCCCACCAUCUGUCCAGCCUGUAGGCACAACUGGCCAUUUGUAAAGUCACUUCAGCCAAGUUUUCAUUUGGGAGCUACCCAAGGGCACCCAUGAGCUCCUAUCAAGAAGUGAUCAACGUGACCCCUUUUCACAGAUUGAAAGGUGUAAUCACACUGCUGCUUGGAUAACUGGGUACUUUGAUCUUAGAUUUGAUCUUAAAAUCACUUUGGGACUGGGAUCCCUUGCUGAUUGACAAACAGACUUUCUGGGACCUUGAUGGAGUGGGGAACAAGCAGUAGAGUGGGACUGGGGGAGACCCAGGCCCCGGGCUGAGCACUGUGAGGCCUGGAUGUGAAGACUCAGCCCAGCGAAGCUCAUUCCCUUACCCCCGGCCAGUGCUGCUGCUUCAGUGGAAGAGAUGAAGCCAAAGGACAGAAUGAAAAUCCCUACCUUCAGAGACUCUAGCCCAGCCCAACACCAUCUCUUCCUACCUCUCAGCCUUCUCCCUCCCCAGGGCCACUUGUUGAAGUCUGAGCACUUUAUGUAAAUUUCUAGGUGUGAGCCGUGAUCACAUUUUCUAUUUAUUUCCAAGUCUUCUCAUUGUAUGGAACAUAGUACUACUUAUACUUACAGUAGUAAGUUAUACUUGUGAGCCCACAGAGUGGCAGACAGCAUGGCUCUCACAGCACAGGGAGAAAAACUGAGGUACACAGAGGUACCUCAGAAGCUCUGGAUGUCUUUGGGGGUUUUGCUAAGUGUAUCUUGAUAGGAAACAACAAAAGCAGGUUGAGAUGGGGAAGAUGACAGAACAACAGUGUUAAAUGGCCAUUUGCACAGGCCUUUGCCACAACAGAGAAGUAGUUUGGUCAGCUAAAACUCAGCUGCAGCCUGGACAGUAGAGCGAGACCCCAUCUUAAAAAUAAAGAAGGCUGGGCGUGGUGGCUCAUGCCUGUAAUCCCAACACUUUGGGAGGCCAAGGCAGGCAGAUCACUUAAGGCCAGGAGUUCAAGACCACCUGGCCAACAUGGUGAAACCCCGUCUCUACUAAAAAUACAAAAAAUUAGCCUGGCGUAAUGGCAGGCGCCUAUAAUCCCAGCUACUCAGGAGGCUGAAGCAGAAGAAUCACUUGAACCUAGGAGGCGGAGGUUGCAGUGAGUCAAGAUCGCGCCACUGCACUCCAGCCUGGGUGACAGAGCAAGACUCUGUCUU
rnacentral:lncRNA from 10 species